GGCCCCUUGGUCAAGCGGUUAAGACACCGCCCUUUCACGGCGAUAACAUGGGUUCAAAUCCCGUAGGGGUCA
rnacentral:tRNA from 2 species